rnacentral:misc_RNA from 1 species
AAGACUAUAGACCUGCGGAGUACCUGCGGAAGGAUCAUUAACGAGUGUAACUUACCCUUUUUUUUAAAAGAGGGUAGUACCUCCCGUCCUUUGUAGGCCCUUUUUUAUUGGGGGGCUUUUUAAGACUUUCUGCUUCGGCGGGGUUAUUCCCGCCGGAACACCCUCAAAAAACUCUUCAAAAAACUAAUUCAGUCCGAGAAUUUUUGAAAAUAAAAAAAACUUUUAACAAUGGAUCUCUAG